GGGUCGCUMUCGUCUGAUCUGAGGUCG
rnacentral:rRNA from 2 species